UGCCCCAUGGCUGAGUUGGUUACAGCGUCCGACUGUUAAGAUCACACAAUCAUUACAUCGGAAGGUCGUGAGUUCGAGCCUCACUGGGGCAG